GCCCUUCUCCGACAGCCGCGGGGCGCUGAAGCUCGCCUCCCGGCGCAGGACGAGUUUCCCGACCUGAGCGGCCACCAAGACCCAGUGGCCGAGGCGCUGCCCCAGCUGAACGCGGAGCUGCGCGCCAGGGGUGGCUUCGCGCUGGAGGCGCCAUCCAGACCCGCGUGGACAGCCCGGGCCACCCGUACUCAGGGCCGUGGGCCGCGUGGCGGCCGACGAGGAGUCCUACGACGUGUUCAAGGAUCUCUUCGGCCCCAUCCUUGAGGACCGGCACCGCACUACAAGCCCAGCGAUGAGCACAAGACCCAGCUCAACCCCGACAACCUGCUGGGAGGCGGCCACCUGGCCCCCAACUGUGUUGAGCUCGCGGUGCGCACGGCCUCCACUUCUGCCUCCCGUGGGUCCCGCGAUGGACGCCCUAGAGACUGGUCGGCGACCUGGCGGGCCUGGACGACGCGCGCAGGAGCAGGACCGACGCGGAACAGCAACAGCAGCUCCUCGACAGCCACUUCCUCUUCCACGAGCCUGUACCGCCCCUGCUCCUGGCCUCGGGCAUGGCCCAACGCCCGCGGCAUCUGGCACAAGGACAGUAUAGACCUUCCUGGUGUGGGGCGGCGACGAGGACCACCUGCGGGCCAUCUCCGUGCAACAGGGGGGCAAACGAAGGAGGCAUUUACUGCUUCUGCCUCGGCCUCUCCCGGUUUGAAACUCUUCAAGUCUAGGAACGACGAGUUCAUGUGGAAUCCUCACCUGGGCUCCAUCCUCACCUGCCCUCCCAACCUGGGCACAGGGCUGCAGGGGCAAGUGUGCACAUCAGGCUGCCCCACCUGGGCAAGCACGAGUUCUCGGAGGUGCUUAAGAGGCUGUGGCUUCAGGCUGGGCGCGGUGGCUGUGACUUCAGAAGUGAGGGACAGACGGUGUGGACGUGGCCGCGGUGGGUGGGGUCUUUGACGUCUCCAACGCUGACCUCCGGGGCUUCUCAGAGGUGGUGCUGGUGCAGAUGCGGGUGGGCGUCAUAAAGCUGCUCAUUGAGAUGGAGCAGUGGCAUCACCAGGGCCAGGCCACCUAUGGCCUAAUGCUUGCCCA
rnacentral:lncRNA from 1 species